UACGUAGGGGGCAAGGCGUUGUCCGGAAUUAUUGGGCGUAAAGAGCGCGUAGGCGGUCCGGUAAGUCAGCUGUGAAAGUCAAGGGCUCAACCCUUGAAAGCCGGCUGAUACUGCCGGACUAGAGUCCGGAAGAGGCGAGUGGAAUUCCCGGUGUAGCGGUGAAAUGCGCAGAUAUCGGGAAGAACACCCGUGGCUAAGGCGGCUCUCUAGUACGGUACUGACGCUGAGACGCGAAAGCGUGGGGAGCGAACAGG
rnacentral:rRNA from 1 species